CCGUUCACCGUCGGAUUGUUGUUUGAAGACUCAAAUCAAUCGGAUCAUCACAUCGUCCUUUGAAGGGAAGCAUAAAGUUAUUUUCCAUCAUUCGCUUGAAAAAAUGAGUUCAAAGGUUGGCAUCUAACCGGUUGUGUGGAGCGCGCGUUUUCCCACAGUCUUAUCCGGGUAUGUGAAAUUUUGCUUCGCGGAUGUGUGUAAAUUUUGCAAAUUACAAAAAGUACUGUGUUAUGUGAUUUGGGAUUCGAGAAAAAAAACACCAAACGCGGAACGAACUUUUCCGAAAGAUACAAGUUUUUGCUGCCUGUUGGUUUUUGCUUAUCAUACUGCUGGUAAUUAAAAAGUUUUAUGUUGCCUCAAAAAUCAAAGCUGGUUUGGUGUAGCUUGUUAUCAUAACAGUCAGUAUUUGUUUCGUCUUUAAACGAUAUACCCAUGUGCGACUGAGAAACCCAGUUUGAUUCACAUUGUACAGCAUGUAGUCUAAUAAAUCGAACGUGCAAUGUGAAGCCAGAAGAAGUUACAUAUGUACACGAUACAGUUACGGAACAAUUCGCGAAUUCAACUUCCAAUCGCAAACGCCUUUUCUUAGGUGUACUUUGUUACAAUAUCUGCGUGUUACAUAAAUAGAGGCGAAAAACAGAAAUACGUUUGCUUGUAUUGUUCAGCGGAAUGCAGUCUAGCAGGUUCCACGACCAACUACCGACUGUUUCGGAAACGCAGUAAAACAAAACCCUUCCAAACACACAAUUCGUACUUGGCGGUUUCCAUAGCAGACUAUUUACCGAAACCCCGACCGAAAAUUUCCGCCAACCAGCAAACCAUGAAUCGAUCCCGCUCGGUUCCCGGCACCGGAGGAGGCGGCCGAACGCAACAGCUCCCUUCCGGUUCGGGUGGCGUUGACCUAGCGACCGCCCUAAACACCCGAGGCAAAACGAUGAUAAUGAAAAGCGUUUCGAUUUUUCUGGCCAGUGGCAAACGAAGCGGCGACGAGUUGUCACCGGAUAAGACCGGAUCCGGAUCCGGACAGCAGUCCGGUCGCUGCGGUGGUAAAUCGGAUCAACCGAAGCGGGAACUGAAUCCUGGUGAGCGAGAACGACGGCGAAAUAGGAGAAUCCUGGCCAAAAUGGAUGAGCUAAACGGGAAGCUCAAUCCGAAGAUGCUGGAAUCGUACAAACGAAGGACGCAUUUUUCCAAGGUCGAAGUGGAGGCCCUCUGCAAAAUAUUCCGCAAGCUGGUAACGAACGCAACCCUAAACUCGAAGGCCCUCGCAGCGAAUAACGCCGGAGUCAUUGCAAAGGCCGGUUCCUCCACGGAUGGCAUCGAUAGGUCAGUGUUCCGUGAACUACUGCACAGCACCUUCGACAUCGUAACGGAUGAAACACUGAUGGAAAGAAUUUUCUGCGCUUGGGAGAAAGGUUUCGAAGGUUUACCGAUUCGGUUGGAGGGUUGGAUACUGGGAUUGUCGACCUUCCUGAAGGGUUCCGAAGCGGAGAGGACGGCUUUCUGCUUCCGAGUGUACGAUUUGAACAGUGAUGGGUUUAUCACGAAAGACGAGAUGUUUGCACUUCUGAGGAACUGUUUGAUCAAGCAACCCCAGGACGAAGAUCCGGAUGAAGGGGUGAGGGAUCUGGUCGAGAUUACGCUGAGGAAGUUGGAUAUGGAUAAGGAUGGGAAGGUAUCAUUCCAUGAUUACCAGGAAGCAAUAACUGUAGAACCUCUAUUACUGGAAGCUUUUGGACAGUGUCUACCAUCGGAUCGAGCAACUGUGUCCUUCCUCUCGACACUGCAAACGCAGCACUCAUCAUAAACCAGGUUAAACGAUCUACCAUAAUUCAAUUCGGUGGCACAUCAAACAAUGAAAAUUAGAUUUUCUCAAAACAUCAACACAACAAUAAAUAAUGAAUAGAACCUGAGCCAUAAUUCUUCUAGUGGGCCACUGACUGGUUCAGGGGAAAGCCAAGAGGAAUCCUCUUAGGUUUGAACUUCAUCAACCGGCUCUUGACUCGAAAAACUCGUCAUUGGAAGAACAGAACAACGCAGAUCGCUGACCUAAUAAUCGUGUUUUGAAAGCAAACAUUCUUUAUUCCGUGCAUGCACUGUUGUAGGGUGUUUGUUCCUAUAUUUGUCUUAUAUGUCAGGAAAUAUGAAUUACAUCAUAUUAACUCAAAAAUAAAUGUAUAUUUUGAUUGAACGCAGUUUAUUUGGUUGCCACUUUAUUGACAUUUCCAUCCCAGCCUUCAGUUGUUCGUUUUUAAAUUAUUUGAUUUUCUAACGAAAAUGGUACCUGGUUCUCGAUUUAAAUUGAAUUUUAAGAGAAUAGAAUGAAUAUAUGAUCUAAGGUAAAUAUAGGAACAAUUCAUGGAAGCACAAACAUUUCUUUGUAUUUUACUUCCUAGUAUUACAAUAGCGGGCGUAUACAAUUACACAGC